rnacentral:tRNA from 1 species
CUUCUCGUUGGGUAGUUGGCAACGCGCCUGCCUUGUAAGUAGGAGUUGUGGGUUCGAGUCUCACCGAGAGGA